rnacentral:antisense_RNA from 1 species
UGUAAUGGUGGGUCUUUGUUAGGCUAGCCUUGGCUAGGCCGUUCCUACGGGCGGUUGUUGCAACCUAGUUUAGACCUGCCACCCUU